UUGUAAUACGGAAGGAGACACGUUUAACACUCCCAAAGACAAGGAUGGAACACAUAUAUAAAUGGUAAGGCACUGUCGCCUUUCGGCGGGACUUAUCAGAUCUUUUU